rnacentral:lncRNA from 1 species
AAAGUUAAUUAGUAUUUUUGCUUAUAAUUGAUAGUAAUUUUUUUUGCUUACAAUACGAGACAGAGGAAGUACACCCAAACCGACCAUUUGACAACCCUACAACACCUAACAUAAAAACACCAGAAGGAUACAGCUAAACUAGGGGCUGUUUGGCCUUGCCACUCCUUAAUUUUGAGACGAAAUUAAUUAUGAUAGUGCAAUCAUGGAGAU